UACGUAGGGGGCAAGCGUUGUCCGGAAUCAUUGGGCGUAAAGCGCGUGUAGGCGGCCCGGUAAGUCCGCUGUGAAAGUCGGGGGCUCAACCCUCGGAUGCCGGUGGAUACUGUCGGGCUAGAGUUCGGAAGAGGCGAGUGGAAUUCCCGGUGUAGCGGUGAAAUGCGCAGAUAUUGGGAGGAACACCAGUGGCGAAGGCGGCUCACUGGACCGGAACUGACGCUGAGGCGCGAAAGCGUGGGGAGCAAACGGG
rnacentral:rRNA from 1 species